rnacentral:rRNA from 1 species
UACGAAGGGGGCUAGCGUUGUUCGGAAUUACUGGGCGCAAAGCGUGCGCAGGCGGUUCGUUGUGUCGGCGGUGAAAGCCCCGGGCUCAACCUGGGAAUGGCCGUUGAAACUGGCGAACUGGAGUGUGGCAGAGGGGGGUGGAAUUCCGCGUGUAGCAGUGAAAUGCGUAGAGAUGCGGAGGAACACCGAUGGCGAAGGCAGCCCCCUGGGCUGACACUGACGCUCAGGCACGAAAGCGUGGGGAGCAAACAGG